GAUGAACGCUGGCGGCGUGCCUAAUACAUGCAAGUCGAGCGAACAGACGAGGAGCUUGCUCCUCUGACGUUAGCGGCGGACGGGUGAGUAACACGUGGAUAACCUACCUAUAAGACUGGGAUAACUUCGGGAAACCGGAGCUAAUACCGGAUAAUAUAUUGAACCGCAUGGUUCAAUAGUGAAAGACGGUUUUGCUGUCACUUAUAGAUGGAACCGCGCCGCAUUAGCUAGUUGGUAAGGUAAUGGCUUACCAAGGCAACGAUGCGUAGCCGACCUGAGAGCGUGCUCGGCCACACUGGAACUGAGACACGGUCCAGACUCCUACGGGAGGCAGCAGUAGGGAAUCUUCCGCAAUGGGCGAAAGCCUGACGGGGCAACGCCGCGUGAGUGAUGAAGGUCUUCGGAUCGUAAAACUCUGUUAUUAGGGAAGAACAAAUGUGUACGUAACUAUGCACGUCUUGACGGUACCUAAUCAGAAAGCCACGGCUAACUACGUG
rnacentral:rRNA from 1 species